AGUAGAAGAAGAUGAUUUUCGAUUAUUCGGCAACACUGGUGGUGAUGAAAUGGUUGAUGAUUCAAUCGUAGCAAACUCUGACGGAACUAUUUUUUCAGAACAAACAUUCGAAUUCUCAACAGCAGAAGAAACAGUUUCUUGACUUGUGGUAUUUGGAGUAGAAGCAAAAUUCAAAUCAGGAACUGUGGGAUAUCGGUUAAGUGUCGCGUUGGGUUCAUUGCGUGGUUUUAAGUGAACCAAACUGCGUCGAUAAGGAACGCCAUUCACGUUGACUAGAUAUGAACGUUCGCUUAAACGAUCAGUAACAAUUCCGGCACUCCAUUGUUUUGAGGUUUCUGGUUGUAACUGUGCGUAUAUAGGAGAGCCAAUCCGGAGCUCAGAAGCAGGAACAUUUUCAAUGAUUCGCGGAAGUAAAUUUCCUUUCGACAUUGGUACACCACAACGAGUAGAGCGACAAAACAGUCGAGAUACGGGGCUGGAGCCAAUUUUAUUAGCUGCUUCUGCCUUUCCAUUUGCCUGCUGGUGAUGCGGUGCUGAGGUAACUAAUUCGAAAUCCCAUUCACGAGCGAAACGAGCCAUUUUAACAUUGGAAAAGUUGGUUGCAUUGUCACUGAUCACCCUCUGAGGUUUACCAUAACGAGCAAAAUUUUGUUCGCAGGCAACGAUGACGGACUCAGGAGUCAAAUCCUUCAAAAUGUCGAGUUCGAAAAAAUCCGAAUAGUGGUCAACCGUCACCAGGAACUUACGUUUGAUGUUUCGAUAUUCUGCUUGGAAAACGUCCAUGGAUACCAGUUGAAAUGGAUAAACCGGUAUAGAGUGGCUCAUCAUAGGCGGAUUCGGUUGUGAGGCUGCAUACGUUGCACAAACGGUACAUUCUUUAACGACGUCUUUGAUCUGCAUCGACAUACCUGGCCAGAAGAGAUUGGCUCUGGCUAAUUUCAACGUUGACUCUAUUCCGUUGUGGCUUAUAUGGCAGCAAUCUAUGAGUUUUCGACGAAGAACAUGUGGCACGACUAAACGAUCGCCACGGUAUACUAUUCCAUCUUGAGUAGAUAGCUCGUUGCGAUAAUUAAAGUAGAUUUUAACGUUGUCUGGUACGCGGCCGGCGAUUGCUGGCCAUCCAUUAUGAAUAUAACUGAUAAUCAAUUGCAGCGACUGGUCCUUUUCGGUUUCGAAUUUUAUUUCCUCCAAACGGCUGUCCGAAAUGCACAGGAAUUUCGACAAUUGAAGCCCUUCUAUUUCACCCAGAACUUUAUAUAUAUUACGUUUGGUGAAAACUUCGCAUUGGUCUUUCUCCAGUGGUGCACGAGACAGAGCAUCUGCAACUACAUUAUCUUUCCCGGUGACAAACUCGAUGGAUAGUCGGUAACGCUGUAGGUUGAGCAACAUGUGUUGGAGUCUACGUGGUGCUGACAAAAGCGACUUCUGAAACAAACUGAUGAGCGGCUUGUGGUCUGUCCUGAUGACUGUUUUUUGGUUUCCUACGAUUAGUUGGUCAAAACGAGUGCAUGCGAACAGUAUUGCUAGUAACUCCUUUUCGAUUUGAGCAUAGUUGCGUUCGGUCGCUGUUAGUGUUCUUGAUGCAUACCCAAUAACACCGUUAGAUUGAAAGACCACUACA